UUUUUUUUUUUUUUAAUUUUUACCCGCAGACGAACGCUGGCGGCGUGCCUAAUACAUGCAAGUCGAACGCUUCUUUUUCCACCGGAGCUUGCUCCACCGGAAAAAAGAGGAGUGGCGAACGGGUGAGUAACACGUGGGUAACCUGCCCAUCAGAAGGGGAUAACACUUGGAAACAGGUGCUAAUACCGUAUAACAAUCGAAACCGCAUGGUUUUGAUUUGAAAGGCGCUUUCGGGUGUCGCUGAUGGAUGGACCCGCGGUGCAUUAGCUAGUUGGUGAGGUAACGGCUCACCAAGGCCACGAUGCAUAGCCGACCUGAGAGGGUGAUCGGCCACAUUGGGACUGAGACACGGCCCAAACUCCUACGGGAGGCAGCAGUAGGGAAUCUUCGGCAAUGGACGAAAGUCUGACCGAGCAACGCCGCGUGAGUGAAGAAGGUUUUCGGAUCGUAAAACUCUGUUGUUAGAGAAGAACAAGGAUGAGAGUAACUGUUCAUCCCUUGACGGUAUCUAACCAGAAAGCCACGGCUAACUACGUGCCAGCAGCCGCGGUAAUACGUAGGUGGCAAGCGUUGUCCGGAUUUAUUGGGCGUAAAGCGAGCGCAGGCGGUUUCUUAAGUCUGAUGUGAAAGCCCCCGGCUCAACCGGGGAGGGUCAUUGGAAACUGGGAGACUUGAGUGCAGAAGAGGAGAGUGGAAUUCCAUGUGUAGCGGUGAAAUGCGUAGAUAUAUGGAGGAACACCAGUGGCGAAGGCGGCUCUCUGGUCUGUAACUGACGCUGAGGCUCGAAAGCGUGGGGAGCAAACAGGAUUAGAUACCCUGGUAGUCCACGCCGUAAACGAUGAGUGCUAAGUGUUGGAGGGUUUCCGCCCUUCAGUGCUGCAGCUAACGCAUAAGCACUCCGCC
rnacentral:rRNA from 1 species